rnacentral:rRNA from 1 species
GUCGCGAAUCAUUCACAAUGGACGCAAGUCUGAUGAUGCCACGCCGCGUGCAUGAAGAAGGCCUUCGGGUUGUAAAGUGCUGUUGUCGAGGGGGAAGAGUACGUGUUGAACAGAUGCGUAUGUGACUGCCUUGAUGAGGAAGCCCCGGCUAAACACGUGCCAGCAGCCGCGGUAAUACGUGUGGGGCAAGCGUUGUUCGGAGUUACUGGGCUUAAAGGGAGCGUAGGCGGUUUGUUAAGUCAGUGGUGAAAGGCUGCGGCCCAACCGUAGUAUUGCCGUUGAUACUGAUGAACUGGAGUGUGCUAGGGGUGAGCGGAACGUGUGGUGUAGCGGUGAAAUGCGUAGAUAUCACACGGAAGGCCGGAGGCGAAGGCGGCUCACUGGGGCACAACUGACGCUGAAGCUCGAAAGCGUGGGGAGCAAACAGGAUUAGAAACCCUAGUAGUCC